rnacentral:rRNA from 1 species
GACGAACGCUGGCGGCGUGCUUAACACGUGCAAGUCGUACGGUAAGGCCCUUUCGGGGGUACACGAGUGGCGAACGGGUGAGUAACACGUGAGUAACCUGCCCACAACUUUGGGAUAACGCUAGGAAACUGGUGCUAAUACUGGAUAUGUGCUCCUGCUGCAUGGUGGGGGUUGGAAAGCUCCGGCGGUUGUGGGUGGACUCGCGGCCUAUCAGCUUGUUGGUGGGGUAGUGGCCUACCAAGGCGGCGACGGGUAGCCGGCCUGAGAGGGUGACCGGCCACAUUGGGACUGAGAUACGGCCCAGACUCCUACGGGGGGCAGCAGUGGGGAAUAUUGCACAAUGGGCGCAAGCCUGAUGCAGCAACGCCGCGUGCGGGAUGACGGCCUUCGGGUUGUAAACCGCUUUCAGCAGGGACGAAGCUUUUUGUGACGGUACCUGCAGAAGAAGCACCGGCUAACUACGUG